rnacentral:rRNA from 1 species
AUUGAACGCUGGCGGCAGGCCUAACACAUGCAAGUCGAACGGUAACAGGAAGCAGCUUGCUGCUUCGCUGACGAGUGGCGGACGGGUGAGUAAUGUCUGGGAAGCUGCCUGAUGGAGGGGGAUAACUACUGGAAACGGUAGCUAAUACCGCAUAAUGUCGCAAGACCAAAGAGGGGGACCUUCGGGCCUCUUGCCAUCGGAUGUGCCCAGAUGGGAUUAGCUUGUUGGUGGGGUAACGGCUCACCAAGGCGACGAUCCCUAGCUGGUCUGAGAGGAUGACCAGCCACACUGGAACUGAGACACGGUACAGACUCCUACGGGAGGCAGCAGUGGGGAAUAUUGCACAAUGGGCGCAAGCCUGAUGCAGCCAUGCCGCGUGUAUGAAGAAGGCCUUCGGGUUGUAAAGUACUUUCAGCGGGGAGGAAGGGAGUAAAGUUAAUACCUUUGCUCAUUGACGUUACCCGCAGAAGAAGCACCGGCUAACUCCGUG